GAACGCUGGCGGCAGGCCUAACACAUGCAAGUCGAGCGGUAACAGGAAUUAGCUUGCUAAUUUGCUGACGAGCGGCGGACGGUGAGUAAUGCCUGGGAAUAUGCCUUAGUGUGGGGAUAACUAUUGGAAACGAUAGCUAAUACCGCAUAACGUCUCGGACCAAGAGGGGACCUUCGGGCCUCUCGCGCUAAGAUUAGCCCAGGUGGGAUUAGCUAGUUGGUGAGGUAAAGGCUCACCAAGGCAACGAUCCCUAGCUGGUCUGAGAGGAUGAUCAGCCACACUGGAACUGAGACACGGUCCAGACUCCUACGGGAGGCAGCAGUGGGGAAUAUUGCACAAUGGGGGAAACCCUGAUGCAGCCAUGCCGCGUGUAUGAAGAAGGCCUUCGGGUUGUAAAGUACUUUCAGUCGUGAGGAAGGCAUUGUAGUUAAUAGCUGCAGUGCUUGACGUUAGCGACAGAAGAAGCACCGGCUAACUCCGUG
rnacentral:rRNA from 1 species